UACAGAGGUCUCAAGCGUUGUUCGGAUUCAUUGGGCGUAAAGGGUGCGUAGGCGGCGCGGUAAGUCGGGUGUGAAAUCUCGGAGCUUAACUCCGAAACUGCACUCGAUACUGCCGUGCUUGAGGACUGGAGAGGAGACUGGAAUUUACGGUGUAGCGGUGAAAUGCGUAGAUAUCGUAAGGAAGACCAGUGGCGAAGGCGGGUCUCUGGACAGUUCCUGACGCUGAGGCACGAAGGGCAGGGGAGCAAACGGG
rnacentral:rRNA from 1 species